CCUACGGGUGGCUGCAGUGAGGAAUAUUGGUCAAUGGACGAGAGUCUGAACCAGCCAAGUAGCGUGAAGGAUGACUGCCCUAUGGGUUGUAAACUUCUUUUAUAUGGGAAUAAAACAGGGUAUGCAUACCCUCUUGUAUGUACCAUAUGAAUAAGGAUCGGCUAACUCCGUGCCAGCAGCCGCGGUAAUACGGAGGAUCCGAGCGUUAUCCGGAUUUAUUGGGUUUAAAGGGAGCGUAGAUGGGUUGUUAAGUCAGUUGUGAAAGUUUGCGGCUCAACCGUAAAAUUGCAAUUGAUACUGGCAGCCUUGAGUACAGUUGAGGUAGGCGGAAUUCGUGGUGUAGCGGUGAAAUGCUUAGAUAUCACGAAGAACUCCGAUUGCGAAGGCAGCCUACUAAACUGCCACUGACAUUGAUGCUCGAAAGUGUGGGUAUCAAACAGGAUUAGAUACCCUGGUAGUC
rnacentral:rRNA from 1 species